UAGGGAAUCUUCCGCAAUGGACGCAAGUCUGACGGAGCAACGCCGCGUGAGUGAAGAAGGAUUUCGGUUCGUAAAACUCUGUUGUUAGAGAAGAACAGCGCAUAGAGUAACUGUUAUGCGUGUGACGGUAUCUAACCAGAAAGCCACGGCUAACUACGUGCCAGCAGCCGCGGUAAUACGUAGGUGGCAAGCGUUGUCCGGAUUUAUUGGGCGUAAAGCGAGCGCAGGCGGUCAAUUAAGUCUGAUGUGAAAGCCCCCGGCUCAACCGGGGAGGGUCAUUGGAAACUGGUUGACUUGAGUGCAGAAGAGGGGAGUGGAAUUCCAUGUGUAGCGGUGAAAUGCGUAGAUAUAUGGAGGAACAACAGUGGCGAAGGCGGCUCUCUGGUCUGUAACUGACGCUGGGGCUUGAAAGCGUGGGUAGCAAACAGG
rnacentral:rRNA from 1 species